rnacentral:rRNA from 1 species
UACGUAGGGUGCGAGCGUUAAUCGGAAUUACUGGGACGUAAAGCGUGCGCAGGCGGUGAGUUAAGUCUGAUGUGAAAGCCCCGGGCUACAACCUGGGAAUGGCAUUGGAAACUGGCUCGCUGGAGUGUGGGCAGAGGGGGGUGGAAUUCCGCGUGGUAAGCAGGUGAAAUGCGUAGAGAUGCGGAGGAACACCGAUGGCGAAGGCAGCCCCUGGGCCAACACUGACGCUCAGCACGAAAGCGUGGGGAGCAACAGG